rnacentral:rRNA from 1 species
GACGAACGCUGGCGGCGUGCCUAAUACAUGCAAGUUGAGCGCUGAAGGUUGGUACUUGUACCGACUGGAUGAGCAGCGAACGGGUGAGUAACGCGUGGGGAAUCUGCCUUUGAGCGGGGGACAACAUUUGGAAACGAAUGCUAAUACCGCAUAAAAACUUUAAACACAAGUUUUAAGUUUGAAAGAUGCCAUUGCAUCACUCAAAGAUGAUCCCUCGUUGUAUUAGCUAGUUGGUGAGGUAAAGGCUCACCAAGGCGAUGAUACAUAGCCGACCUGAGAGGGUGAUCGGCCACAUUGGGACUGAGACACGGCCCAAACUCCUACGGGAGGCAGCAGUAGGGAAUCUUCGGCAAUGGACGAAAGUCUGACCGAGCAACGCCGCGGGAGGGAAGAAGGUUUUCGGAUCGUAAAACUCUGUUGGUAGAGAAGAACGUUGGUGAGAGUGGAAAGCACAUCAAGUGACGGUAACUACCCAGAAAGGGACGGCUAACUACGUG